CAGGUGUUCUCGAUGGCUUCC
rnacentral:miRNA from 1 species